rnacentral:lncRNA from 1 species
AUUUUUCUUACUUUGUUAAGGUUCAAAUUGUUCAAAGAUAACAAUGGAAUAGAUAAAUCUGUUGAUUUGGAAUCACCAGAUGGGUAGGUGUCAAAAAUGAUGAAUUGAUUUCUUACCUAUGUAACUAAAGUUUUAUUUUUGUUCGUAUGUAAUCAUGGAUUCAUGAAUCCAUUAUUUUCAAUUGUAUCUUUCAAGUGGUAUUUUUUGCUUAUUUUCCUUUUUUUUUUUUAUCUCAAAAAC